rnacentral:rRNA from 1 species
GACGAACGCUGGCGGCGUGCUUAACACAUGCAAGUCGAACGAAAAUACCAAGCUUGCUUGGUUGAUUAGUGGCGAACGGGUGAGUAACACGUGAGUAACCUGCCCCUUACUUUCCUGGAUAACUGCUCGAAAGGGUAGCUAAUACGGGAUAUUCUGACCAGCCUGCAUGGGUUGGUUUGGAGAGGGUGUUUUUCUGGUAAGGGAUGGGCUCGCGGCCUAUCAGCUUGUUGGUGGGGUGAUGGCCUACCAAGGCUUUGACGGGUAGCCGGCCUGAGAGGGUGGACGGUCACACUGGGACUGAGAUACGGCCCAGACUCCUACGGGAGGCAGCAGUGGGGAAUAUUGCACAAUGGGCGCAAGCCUGAUGCAGCGACGCCGCGUGAGGGAUGAAGGCCUUCGGGUUGUAAACCUCUUUCGUCAGGGAACAAGGCACUGCUUUUUUGGUGGUGUUGAGGGUACCUGGAUAAGAAGCGCCGGCUAACUACGUG